AUUGAACGCUGGCGGCAUGCUUUACACAUGCAAGUCGAACGGCAGCACGGGGGCAACCCUGGUGGCGAGUGGCGAACGGGUGAGUAAUACAUAGGAACGUGUCCUGAAAUGGGGGAUAGCUCGGCGAAAGCCGGAUUAAUACCGCAUACGAUCCACGGAUGAAAGCAGGGGAUUCGCAAGAACCUUGCGUUUCUGGAGCGGCCUAUGUCUGAUUGGCUAGUUGGCGGGGUAAAAGCCCACCAAGGCGACGAUCAGUAGCUGGUCUGAGAGGAUGAUCAGCCACACUGGGACUGAGACACGGCCCAGACUCCUACGGGAGGCAGCAGUGGGAAUUUUGGACAAUGGGGGCAACCCUGAUCCAGCCAUGCCGCGUGAGUGAAGAAGGCCUCGG
rnacentral:rRNA from 1 species